CUAAUAUCACAAACACAAAUGCAAGAAUGGACCAAAACCUCCGAGGAGAGUCGAACGGAGAAAAUUGAAAAACCACGGAAAAUUAGAACCUUGACUAAAACUGGAAGAACAGGGGUUUGAACUCGAACCGGGAACUCGAUUAAAUACCGAAUAAGCAGCAGCAUCGCCGUAAAAUAGUGCACAUAUAGUGUUUGUGAAAAUGGGUAAAUGGAGAUUUUUUGUGAAGUCUGUUUUCAGUGAAGAAAAAGUUCUUUCUCUGGAAGGAAGUGCUCAUAGUGGUGUAUUUCAACGGAGAAGAUGAUGAUUGACGUAGAAAGCCAUGAAGGCGAGCUGAACAGCUAUGUGGGG
rnacentral:lncRNA from 1 species